GCAUGCAUGGCUGAGCGGUUGAAAGCAGCAGACUCAUAAUCUGUUUCCCUUUAGGGCACACAGGUUCAAAUCCUGUUGCAUGCA
rnacentral:tRNA from 1 species